rnacentral:lncRNA from 10 species
GUAUUUUUUAGUAGAAAUGGGGUUUCGCCAUGUUGCCCAGGCCUGUCUCGAACUCCUGAAGCACAAGUGAUCCACCUGCCUAGGUGACCCAAAGUAAUGGGAUUACAGGCAAUGGACCUCAUCAUGACCGUUGCUGUACUUACAAUGAAAACAACUUGGUGGAUGGUGUGUAUUGUCUCCCAAUAGGACACUGGAUUGAGGCCACUGGGCACACCAAUGAAAUGAAGCACACAACAGACUUCUAUUUUAAUAUUGCAGGCCACCAAGCCAUGCAUUAUUCAAGAUCCAGGGACCAAAGGCCUGAAUUCCAGUUGUGCCUCAAGAUGGUGCUUUCCCUCAUUUUUGUAGCUCAAGACGUACAUUCAACUCAAGAGUCCAGCUCUACAGCAGCUAUAUUUGGAAAUACACAUAUUUUAUGGCCAGUAUAUAAAUGAUUUUUAAUAAAAUUCUACCAAAUAUCUGGCUGGGUAGCUGCCCUCGUCAGGUGGAACAUGUAACCAUCAAACUGAAGCAUGAAUUGGGGAUUACAGCUGUAAUGAAUUUCCAGACUGAAUGGGAUA